GGCCCCUGCGCCGGCUCCGCCUCCGAUGCCCGGUGCGCCCUCCCCGCUGCCAAGGCGGGUCCCCGCGGGGCCAGCCGCCCGCCCCCCUUCCACGCUGGAGCUUCCCCUCCUGGGCAAACCCGGGACCCCGAAGAGCUACGCGCAGCCUGAGGUUCUGCGUCGCACCUUUGAGACCUUGUCCAGCCUCCACAGGCUGCUGCCCAGUCGGCUCGUGGACACCCUCCAUUCCUACAAGACGGAGGACAAGCAAGACUGUCAGAAUCCUGAAUUCUCUGGCUUAGAAAGGAUCUUAGCACGACAUCAACUUCCAAAAGAGAUUAAUGCGACCCCAAAGCCAAGUAGCAUACCCCUGUGGAGAAGAAAAUCCAUCAACAAUGCAAAUCGUGGGUGGAAGAAAUGCCAUUUAUGGAAAAAAAAAAUGGAGGAGCCUCCAAUGUCAACCAUAGUUGUCAGAUGGUUGAAAAAAUACAUGCAACCCACCGAAGACCUUCAGUCAGUAAUCCAGAGGCUGUCCGUGUUUGGGCCAAUUAAGUCAGUCACCCUCUGUGGACGGCAAAGUGCCAUCGUGGUGUUUGAAGACAUGAUUUCAGCCUGUAAUGCUGUGAACGCUUUUCAAAGCAGGGCCCCUGGCACAAUGUUUCAGUGUUCCUGGCAACAGCGAUUCAUGUCGAAAGAUAAAGUUUAUUCAAGAAGAUAUACUGAGAAGUCAGGACAUACUGAGAAGUCACAGCCUAAGGCGUGUAAGUGGGAAAUUGAAAGGAAACACCAGCCAUAGCUAAGGGCCGCAGACAGUCUAAGAGAGAUUGAUUAGAAGAAAAAAACAGAAGUGAGGGAACCUAACAUAAAUUAGAAAGUGAAGCCAGGAAUCAAUAACAGAAAUGGAAAACCAAAAACCAACCAACCAACCAACAAACAAAAACUUUCUGGAAAUUUAAGGAACUAUCAUUAUUACGUAAAGCUUGGAUGAAAGAGGAAAUGGAAACCAAAAGUGAAGAAUAUAUAAAAAGUUAACUAUGUUACUUGCUGUGUAUUAUGUACCAUCUGCUCUCGUGGACACUGGGGGAUAUAUUCACCUCUCCCCAAGGUGAACAAGAAAGUUUUGGACACAUAGAACCUACCCGAAGUCAACAAAUUCUAAAUAACAAAUGCCCAACUCUGUUAUAUGAAGUAGCCACUGUUACGAAUCUUCCUGCACAAAUCAAACAAGAGAUCAGAAAAAAAAAAAAGCAAUGAGUUUUUGAGUAAAAUACACCGAAGGAACUAGUUUUUGAGUAAAA